rnacentral:rRNA from 1 species
UACGUAGGGGGCAAGCGUUGUCCGGAUUCAUUGGGCGUAAAGAGCGUGUAGGCGGUUUGGUAGGUCCGCUGUGAAAACUCGAGGCUCAACCUCGAGACGCCGGUGGAAACCAUCAGACUAGAGUCCGGAAGAGGAGAGUGGAAUUCCUGGUGUAGCGGCGAAAUGCGUAGAUAUCAGGAGGAACACCCGUGGCGAAGGCGGCUCUCUGGCCUGUAACUGACGCUGAGGAGCGAAAGCGUGGGGAGCGAACAGG